rnacentral:rRNA from 1 species
UGGGGAAUAUUGCACAAUGGGCGAAAGCCUGAUGCAGCGACGCCGCAUGAGGGAUGACGGCCUUCGGGUUGUAAACCUCUUUCAGUAGGGAAGAAGCGAAAGUGACUGUACCUGCAGAAGAAGCGCCGGCUAACUACGUGC